GACGUAGGGCGCAAGAGUUGUCCGGAUUUAUUGGGCGUAAAGAGCUCGUAGGCGGCUUGUUGCGUCGACUGUGAAAAACCACGUCUCAACCGUGGGACUGCAGUCGAUACGGGCAGGCUAGAGUUCGGUAGGGGAGACUGGAAUUCCUGGUGUAGCGGUGAAAUGCGCAGAUAUCAGGAGGAACACCGGUGGCGAAGGCGGGUCUCUGGGCCGAUACUGACGCUGAUGCGCGAAAGCUAGGGGAGCGAACGGG
rnacentral:rRNA from 1 species